GACGAACGCUGGCGGCGUGCCUAAUACAUGCAAGUAGAACGCACAGUUUAUACCGUAGCUUGCUACACCAUAGACUGUGAGUUGCGAACGGGUGAGUAACGCGUAGGUAACCUGCCUGGUAGCGGGGGAUAACUAUUGGAAACGAUAGCUAAUACCGCAUAAUAUUAAUUAUUGCAUGAUAAUUGAUUGAAGGAUGCAACUGCAUCACUACCAGAUGGACCUGCGUUGUAUUAGCUAGUAGGUGAGGUAACGGCUCACCUAGGCGACGAUACAUAGCCGACCUGAGAGGGUGAUCGGCCACACUGGGACUGAGACACGGCCCAGACUCCUACGGGAGGCAGCAGUAGGGAAUCUUCGGCAAUGGACGAAAGUCUGACCGAGCAACGCCGCGUGAGUGAAGAAGGUUUUCGGAUCGUAAAGCUCUGUUGUAAGAGAAGAACGGGUGUGAGAGUGGAAAGUUCACACUGUGACGGUAUCUUACCAGAAAGGGACGGCUAACUACGUG
rnacentral:rRNA from 1 species